rnacentral:piRNA from 1 species
UAAAACUAUAACACUGAAUUUUCCCAGACA